GGAGGGCAGCACGCGCUUCCCAAGUGCUGCUGUCAUCUUUGCCGUUCCCUUCGGGUUUUGCCGUUUCUUAAUAAAACAGUCACCAGGGGGAAGAGCACAGGGAAGUAGCAGCUUUCUGAAUUUCUCCAUUGUGAGUACCUGUGCUGCAGUGAUUUGAUUUGAGCAUAUGACUGCAGGAUAUUAUUUCAUAUCAUUCAAGUCAUUGGGGAUCCUGGAGAAAAUUCAAUUGCAGCAGGACCAGUCUUUGAAGAAUGUCACUCUCCGUGUAAGGUGACAGAAAACAGUGUCUAUGAAGGCAAGAUGCUGAGAAAUGUGGAAAAUAGAGGAGCACAACUGCGGGGAGUGGAGAGCGAUGUGGAGCAGGUUCACCUGUGGCAAGAUGCAGCUGGCAAAGAGUCAUGGAGCCUGAUCAAGCAGUCCAUUCAACCCAUACGUGUCCCAAGAACUUCAGGGGAAUAGCCUUUGUGAUUUUUUUUCACAUAAUUAAGAUUGUAUUGGGUUCUUAAACCUCUGUAUAAUCCAAUAAAGAAAAAAAUUAAAAGUUCGUUAAAUCCCCUGCAUUAAAAGAAAUCCUGCAACCUAGCUGUUUACCUCAAAAAGCUCUUUGUAGUGCCUGAUGCUCAUGUUUUGUAAGUGUUCCCUGAAGACCAUUAUUCAUCAGCACAG